rnacentral:rRNA from 1 species
CACGUAGGGUGCGAGCGUUGUCCGGAAUUAUUGGGCGUAAAGAGCUCGUAGGCGGUGUGUCGCGUCGGCCGUGAAAACCUGCAGCUUAACUGUGGGCUUGCAGUCGAUACGGGCAGGCUAGAGUUCGGUAGGGGAGACUGGAAUUCCUGGUGUAGCGGUGAAAUGCGCAGAGUAUCAGGAGGAACACCGGUGGCGAAGGCGGGUCUCUGGGCCGAUACUGACGCUGAGGAGCGAAAGCGUGGGGAGCGAACAGG